AGCGAACGCUGGCGGCAGGCCUAACACAUGCAAGUCGAACGAACCUUUCGGGGUUAGUGGCGGACGGGUGAGUAACACGUGGGAACGUGCCUUUAGGUUCGGAAUAACUCAGGGAAACUUGUGCUAAUACCGAAUGUGCCCUUCGGGGGAAAGAUUAAUCGCCUUUAGAGCGGCCCGCGUCUGAUUAGCUAGUUGGUUGAGGUAAUGGCUCACCAAGGCGACGAUCAGUAGCUGGUCUGAGAGGAUGAUCAGCCACAUUGGGACUGAGACACGGCCCAAACUCCUACGGGAGGCAGCAGUGGGGAAUCUUGCGCAAGGGGCGAAAGCCUGACGCAGCCAGGCCGCGUGAAUGAUGAAGGUCUUAGGAUUGUAAAAUUCUUUCACCGGGGACGAUAAUGACGGUACCCGGAGAAGAAGCCCCGGCUAACUUCGU
rnacentral:rRNA from 1 species